AUACGGAGGACGCGAGCGUUAUCCGGAUUCAUUGGGUUUAAAGGGUGCGCAGGCGGCCGUGCAAGUCAGCGGUGAAAGCCCGGGGCUCAACCCCGGAAGUGCCGUUGAUACUGCGUGGCUGGAAUGCGGUCGAGGCGGGCGGACAGGGGCGUGGAGCGGGGGAAUGCGUAGAUAUGCCACAGAACGCCGAUAGCGGAGGCAGCUCGCCAGGCCUGCAUUGACGCUCGGGCACGAAAGCGUGGGGAUCGAACAGGAUUAGAUACCCUGGUAGUCCACGCCGUAAACGAUGGGCGCUCGUCGUCGGCGGCAGACAGUCGGCGGCCAAGCGAAAGCGAUAAGCGCCCCACCUGGGGAGUACGGUCGCAAGGCUGAAACUCAAAUGAAUUGACGGGG
rnacentral:rRNA from 1 species